CAGUCAGAGUCGCCCGAUGCGCUCCGUUUCCUCGCCACACUUUUCUCUCUUCUCCUCCACUCCGUUUCCUCCAGUAAACCUGCUGUGAUCUUCAGGCACUUCGUGCCCAGACCGACACGUUAAAGGUCUUUAAAAAUCUAUCUCUCCAGUGGUUUUUGUUGAGUCCAUUCUAAAUAUUUCCUACGCCAAUCGACGUGGAGCUGAUGAGCUGGAGGAGAAUCGUGGAAACCUAGCACAGGUGACAGGAGCUUUUACGACGCUGCGGUACAGAUGAUUGACCAGUUUGAGCCUUAACUGAGCGCGCUGCGCCUCCUUUUACUUACACAGGGCGGAAACACGUUGUGGGGACAGCUUAAGGAACGAUGAUCAACUUGUGAUUUUGAACACGCGAAAGAACAAAAAUGUGUCGCUUCUGAAGAAGAUGUAACCUUUUGUUUUACGCACAGAAACGGACCCAGUUGCUCCUUUUCCCAUCAGAUGCUGGGUCUGCGUUUUUGCAGGAUUACAGUCAUGACUGUUGAGAGAAACCGGGCUGGAUUGUGAAAUCUUUUUUUUCUCUUUUCAAUUCUAUUUUUUGUCAAGAGGAAGUGAUCUGUUUCUUCAAUGGCUCCGGGGUCCAGACGCAGAGAUGCCUGCACUCGUUGGCCGAAGAUGUCGUCAACUUUCUGGGUAGUGGUGCUUCUGACGGCGCUGCUGGUUCUCUACUGCGGCCAGCUGGCAGCAGGGACAUGCGAGAUUGUGACGUUGGACAGGGACAGCAGCCAACCACGACGCACCAUCGCCAGGCAGACGGCCCGCUGUGCCUGUAAGAAGGGCCAGAUCGCCGGAACUACAAGAGCCAGACCCGCCUGUGUGGACGCUGGCAUUGUUCGAAAAAAGCAGUGGUGUGAGAUGGUUCCGUGUUUGGAGGAUGAAGGCUGUGACCUGUUAGUCAAUAAAUCUGGAUGGACUUGUACGCAGCCCGGAGGCCGAGUCAAAACCACCACGGCUCUAUGACGCGACAAGAGUUCCCCUCGACACUCUUGCACUAUGGAGAGCAUUGAUGACCCCAUGACAGACAGCCAAAAUCCACCUACCAACACCACCACCAUCACAGCAGCUCCACCCAUACCCUGGUGCAACAAAGCCAGGAAGCAUCAAAAGCAGCGACAGAGAAACAAGAGCCUCACUGAGGCAUCAAGGUCUCGUAACAGCCAGAGUCAUCCAAACCAGGGAGUGACUGAGUUUUCCACUGAUCCUGGAUGAAUUUGCUAUUAUUCGCUCCCUGCUUCCUCUGACUUGCAUUUCGGGGUUUCUGACUGCUCCCUCCUGCUGUCUGUCACCAGGUCAACAUGUUGCGCCCUCCUCCUCCUCGUCACUGCGUCCGCCUGCUCUGUGAUUUCAGCAGCGCCUGCUCAUGCCACGGAGGAUUGGACACCUUCAAGCUCCAUGAAUGGUUUCUGUCAUUGGAUGUCCUCUUGUAGGAGCUGCUAGCUGCAUUAAAUAAGUAAUUCCUCACAUCUUUACCAAGUGCAGUAGUUCCAGAGCAUAGCUGGGAUCAUUACAGACCAAACUCUGUUGCUACGGACCACCUCACGAGGUCGUUACGAAAAAGAAAACAAACUGUGUGCUCUCAGCUGUGAAUAGGCCUUCUGCUGGAGUAAAACUGUUAUUUUUAUAGACCAAAGAUCAAAAUGACUAAUAUGAUUACGAUGGCCGAGGAUCAGCUGGUAAAAGACAGAACAUCUUAAUAUUCCUCAUGCGUUGCCACCACCAAGGCUGUCCUCACAAAAACAUGGUGCACAAGUGGACGACGCAACCUUUUGCAACUGAUGGCAUAUGUACACAAUCAGUGGAGUGCUUUUAAAACCUUUCAGACUUUUUUUUCUCAAACUAUAGGUCCACAAAUGUACUUCAGAACUGCAAAAAUAGGUACUGCAAUGUAUAACUGUAUUGAAAAAAGGAGAAAAAUGUCAGAUGUGAGAUUUUCAGUAGCUAUGGUUUGGACUGCUUAAAGGAAGAAACGUGAAAUGGGUCAAGGAAAUCAUAUCACAGAAAUGAUCGAUAUCUACAGAGUACGAAUGGUGGAGUAAAGAAUUGCCAUUAAAUGUAUUUUGAAAGGCCCUAAAAAGUUAUAUAUUUAACAGUUUUAUAUGUUGUACCUUUGUAGAGAAGCUUAUUGGACUUAAAUGUGGUCACAAUGGCAGUUUAGUAGAAAGUGAACAAAUGCUGUUCUCAUUACUGCUGGCUCGUUGUCUCUGGUUUUCGGUUCACACCUCAGUAGCUGCUUUCUUUUCAUAGUCAUCUCUAAGUCAGUCUAUUAGAACCAUCCACGAAAAAAGGAAAGUGACACAAUUUACUGAGGACUGAUCUGCAGCCAACAGAAUAUUGUAAAUCUAUGGUAGUCAGUGGAAGCCAUUGAAAUCUGCUAAUUUGCUAUGAUAUUGUAUUGUACACGAUGUGGAAUACUUAUUCAUUUCCUCUCUCUGAGUUUGAGCUCUUAAUUUAUUUUUGUGCUUGUGUUUGUUCGCACAAAUCGGCCGCUCUCCGACAGCAAUGGAGACAACGAGGAGAGCGAGAGAAAUAGCACUGCAAACAUAGUCAUAUAAAUACAUUUUUUAUCAUGAAAUAUUUUAAGAAUAAAUUAAAUACAUGAAAUGACUUGUCCUCUGGGAAUUUAGAUGUUUUGGGUGUUCAAGGUCAACGGAACACAUUUGAAGUCCUUUUUUCCUGCUGCUAUUUUUUUAUCGGCCUAAUCACUUUUGGAAUAAAGUACUUAAAGUUGCACUAGAUAUAAUCAUCAUGAAACCUAUUUUAGACAUGCUUUUUUCCAUGAUUUUGAGAACAACUGAACUUGUCAUGUUUUUGUUUGAUUUCUUGCAAUUUGCCAGGUGUGACAUCAUCAAGAGCUGAAUGUAGCAUCAUAAACAUUUCUACUAAAGUGUUACCAACAUUCCCAGUGCAGAUUGGAUUCUACCAGGACUACCUCUGAUUUCUAGUGUUCAUGAACAAGACUUCAAGGUGUGGAGAGUGUCUGUCUGGUUUAGGACCUUCAGGUUCUCAUCUCUGCUUUAUGCAGAUGAUGUGAUUCUGUUGGAAUUUUCAACGUCUGCUUAAGUGGCUCACAGCCCAGAUACGGUUCAAGUCUGAGUUGAAAGGGAGUUCCUGCCUCAAGCAAAGAUGAUGUAAGUGUCUUGGUGUCUUGUUCAUAAGUGAUGGUAAGAUGAGCCAACUGGGUUUUCAUCUUCAGCAAAGAGGACAUUGCUCUGGUCUGUUAGAGAAGGAGCUGUGGUAAAAGACCUACAAAAGGUCACCUACUGGUCCAUCUACCUUUUUACUCUCACCUAUGGUCAUGAGAUUUGGAUCAAAACCAAAAUAAACAAGAUCUCAGAUACAA